UCAAAAGUACGUGAGGAUUGUGGCGCAUUGGUCGGCUGGAGUCGGUACUGAAUGAGCGGAAGGAGGAGGGAGAUCAUACAUUAACUCCUGCUGGCUGCGGGGACUCUCCAGUUGUCAGAAGCCAACGCAGAGGGGCACACUCAGCGCAGAGCUUUUUGAGAAACAAGGGGGCGACAAAUGAAACCCGACCGAAAAUCCACUUAAUUUUCUCUCUCUUUCUCUCUUCACAGCACCCCCCUUGUUUUCCAGGAGAUUUUUACGCAGCGCAAAAAGAGUAAAGAAAACGCCGCAGAGAUGAGUGUUGCGUGGUUUUACGUGCCCCUGAAGGAUCCUGUCUCCUGAUAAAGGGACCAAAGAGGACAAAAACAAGCCUGUCCAUGAUAUUUUCCAAAAGAAGAUCGCAAAGGUGGAGCGAUUAGAGAAGGGCUGAUGAAGGGACUAUUAAUCCUUUCAGUGCACCAAAAGCACCAAAGGGUAUUAGAAACGUUUGGAUGGAAAUCGGGCGAGUGCUUGGAAUUGUUUUUGGUUUUAUAUGAAACUGGUGAUUAAUAGUUGUUGUGACACAUCUGAAAGGAUUGUUUUUUUUCCCCCACUUAAGAUUCUAAUAAGGAGUAAAAAAAAAAAAAAUUUCUUUCACCGAAAGCUUUUGUGAUAUGAGCGGUUUCUCGGUGUGAAUUUUCAGAAACUCUCAUCUCUAUCUAUCUAUAUUUUUUUUUCUUUUCAAGUAUUCCUAAAUCUAAAUGGAAUUAGUUGAGUCUGAAGCCGUUUGUGAAAGGAACAGACAUGGUACAUGGGCACAGCUUCCAUCACGUUGUUGCAAGUCUACUCAUACUUGGGUUGUGUGGGGCAACAAAGAAGGAUCCAGCAGUGAAAAACAAUUCGGGAGUGAAGCCUGCAGGUCAAUGUGGAACGUGGGUGAAAGAACCAGAAGGAGGGCUCUUCACUUCUCCCAAUUACCCAAACAAAUACCCCCCAGGCACAGAGUGUGUUUACAUCCUUGAAGCUCCCCCGAGGCAGUGUAUUGAUCUGCAUUUUGAGGAGAAUUACUCAAUCGAGUCCUCUUGGGAAUGUAAAUUUGACAACAUCGAGGUUCGGGAUGGACCGUUUGGCUUCUCCCCAAUGCUCGGACGCUACUGCGGUCAACACAGCCCACCUGAUAUCAGGAGUAGCGGCCGAUACCUGUGGAUAAAAUUUGUUACAGAUGGCGAACUGGAAGCAGUGGGAUUUUCAGCAAGUUACAACUUCACUGCAGAUCCAGACUUUGCAGACUUAGGAGUACCCCCACCUCUCCCCUCCUGUCAGUAUGACAUGGUUGGUCCAGAAGGUAUCGUUGAGUCUCAUCAGAUCACCAGAGACGGGAAGGCGGGUGCCGCUGAGGCCGUCGACUGUAAAUGGUACAUCCGUGCUCCGCCGCGCUCCAAGAUCUACCUGCGUUUCCUCGACUAUGAGAUGGCAAAUUCCAACGAAUGCAAGCGCAACUUUGUGGCGGUGUAUGAUGGUGGCAGCUCGGUGGAAGACUUGAAGAGCAAGUUCUGCUCCACGGUGGCCAACGAUAUCAUGCUGGUGUCGACGCUGGGAGUCAUCCGGAUGUGGGCAGACGAGGCCAGCCGCAAAAGUCGCUUCCGCAUCCUUUUCACAACCUACCAAGAACCUCCAUGUGAUGCAGAUGCCUUCUUCUGUCACAGCAACAUGUGCAUAAACAACACGCUGGUGUGUAACGGCAUGCAGAACUGUGUCUACCCCUGGGAUGAGAACCAAUGUAAAGAGAAGAGGAAAGCCAACAUCCUGGACAACCUGAACAACACAAACGGGACCAUAAUUGGCGUGACCUGCUGCAUCGUCCUCAUCCUCCUCAUCGUCUCUGUCAUCGUCCAGAUCAAGCAGCCGCGCAAGAAGUACAUUUUGCGGCGUGAGGACUUUGACCCCACCAUGUUCCAGGAGGUCUUUGAGCCCCCUCACUAUGAGCUGUGUACUUUACGGAGUGCCACCACACCCACAGCGGCCUCGGCAGAUCUAGUCGACCUGGCGGAAGACUUUGAGAACUAUCACGCCCUUCGCCGUGCCUCCUCACGCUGCGUCCACGACCACCACUGUGGCUCUUCCUCCAACCCCGGGUCUGCGCACAUAUCCCAGCUGUCACUCAGUGGACGGGGUAGCCGUGGCAACCUGAGCGCCCGUGACACGGCGGCCGCCACUCUGCUCACAGACCUCCCACAGCCGCCCAUGGCAGUGCGGCCCUUGCUGCCGGCCACGGGAAACCGCAGGAGCAUCUUGGUCAUGAAGCACAGCUACUCACAGGAGGCAGCGGACAAUGAAUGUGACCUGGACGACGACCUGGAAGAAGUUCCCACCACCAGCCACCGGCUUUCACGCCACGAAAAGGCAGUACAGCGGUUCUGCCUCAUUGGCUCUUUGAGCAAACAUGAAUCAGAGUACAACACAACUAGGGUCUAAGAGACAAUCUCAAGACUUCUUGAGAAUAGUGCAAUCCUGGAUCAGUACGAACGGGCCUCACUGACAUAUGAAAAAGCGGAGCGGAGAUUUACACCAGCAUGAUGCUGAUGAUGAUGAAGGGGCACGUUGACGAAAGGAUACUGAAUGUGUAUUCAUGUGCAAGGAUGAACACAAAGGACUAGAUGAAAACACUCCAGCUGCAAUGCUGUGAAGCGGGAAGGUUUGGGAAAUCAGUCAGCUCUGUGCUCUACUUACUGUAGUCAAUCCAGAUGUUUUGUCUCGCUGUAAAGAUAUGGACCUUUACAAUGAACACGAUUACUGAACUUUAGAUUUGGGACGUCACAUGCGCGUUACAUAUCUGCCAUUGUCAUAGAGUCCUCACUGAUAACAAAAUGAAUGUGAUCAAACAUCUUAAGUUAAUUUUUAAGCAUGUGUUUUUCAAAUUAGUAGCAAACAUGUUCUGAUUUUAAUAGCAAAUUUUAGGUGCUUGCAGUUCGUCAAAUCUAGAAAGACUUGUUUUAGUGAAAAUUGGAAUUAAACUGAACUAAUUACUAACCUGAUUGAAUUUAACACUGUUGGAGUAACCAGAAGCAGUUUAAUUUGGAUAACAAAUCAAGGCCGAGUUGUAUGGCUUCUGCAUGCUUCUUCUAUAUCCAUUAAAGCAUUAGCAUACUAACAUUAAAAUAUGAAAAACAGCCAUCUACUAAUACAUAAAUCAUAUGGGCAUAAGAUGGACUUUUAAAAGCAUCUGCAUGUUGUUGCUUCGCUAAAUCAUUAGAGCAUCACGCAAAUAAAUUCCCGACAUUGAUUUUAACUCAGACUCCCUUUUGAAUAUGCUGACUAACUUUUUGACAUGCGUUUUUAUUUUAAUAAAGAGUACUUGCUUUUUCGGGCAAACACAUUUACUUCAAGUCUGUUUGACGUCUAACUCUCUUUUACUGUAGGAGCUUAAUAUCUUUGUAUUAAAACAGACUUUUCUACUAAGGCAAACUGAAAGGAUGACCAUUUUUACAGUUAUUCAAAUUAUCUUUCAGGGCUGAUUUUACUGAUGCUUUAUAAAAUAAAUAACAAUAAAGCUUCACCUUCUUCUUUUGUUUUAUUGGCUUUUUGGUCAGCAGUUCCUCUGUCUGUUUAGUGUGUCCUCAAACGGUCAGCACACACCAUCCUCGUCUCGCAGUCAUGCGUUUUUAGAUGUUGCUGUUUGUUGUGACUGAUUUGCUGCAGAGGGAGACCAGGCCCAAACCAAAAAGGAUUUGUUUCGCCAAGCGGGACAAUAAAAUCAGUUCCAGACGGUUUAAAUAAUCCCAGGUAAUCGAGGCAUCUGACAGACAAGUUAAUUGACUUUUUGUGUUUUGUCCUGAUGAGAUUUAUCCCAUUUAUACUGCAGAGGAGCAGCAGCAGCAGCCUUGCACUUUAAUUGUACUCUGUGCUGGCAGGCUGGUUUUAUAAGAAACUGAAGGGGGAAAAAAACAACCUGCAUUAUGUGGAAAGUGAGAUCAGCACCUCUGAGCACAAUGACAUCAACACACACAAAUCACACACUCUUGCAUUUCUUGUUUCUUACUCUGUCAUUGUCUGUUUUUUUCUUACCGUGGCGAUUUUAAUGGUAUUUACCAUCUAUGUGUACAUUCUUUUUCUGUGUUCGAUGUCAUGUAUGUAUUAUUUACAUCCAUGCUCUCCAGUCUUUUUUCUUCUGCCAUAUGCACACAGACAUAUAUACCUGCAAAUACUGAAUAAAAUAUUUUUCUUUUGUGUACACACAUUGUUCUGUGCCUUGUCUCUCUGCUUUACAUUUCUGUCAACACAUAUAUUUGAAGAAUGUUCAGCGCAGCCAGCACAUAUACUCAUCCUGCUUUCUCUGUCUUUCUCCUCUUUACUCUUUCUCUUAAACACACACACACACUCAAAGUCACAAAUUCAUCUGCCACUUUAUAGAUGGAGGCCGACACGCCACUAAUUAAAUACAUCAGACAGAUGCAUCAUUCCUCUGCAUCUUGACAAGUUUGACAGGAUUCGGAGCUAAGGUUUCUCCCCCAUUUGCAUCUUGAGUCAACCGUUGCCCUGAGCAACAUUACCAAUGUAGAGUGCUGUGAUGAGAAAAUUCUUUUUUUUAAAAAAAAAAGGUUUGUGAUGUAUGCAUCAAGUUUUUCUUUGUCGCUUUGGACUAUAGAAGGUGAAUUUCCCCCAACCUGUGCUCCACGCCUGCCUAGGUUUGAAUGGAGCACUGAAAAAUUUCAGAGACAGAACUGAAAAUUUGUUUGUUUUUCUUUUUCUUUUUGGAAAAAUAGAGUACCUUUAAUGUAAAGUUGUUCAUGAAGAAAAAAAAACAACAGAAUCAGGUUUUUUAAAUCAUUUUCAUGUAACGAUCAACAUAUGAAAUUGCAUAUUUCAGCUGCUGGUUUCACAUAUUUCCUAUUUUGAUGUCAUGUCUUUACAGUAUAGAGUAUCAGAUUGUUUUUAUAUCAAACAGUUCUUGAAAGACCUGUUGAGAAGACAACAGAACCGGAUGUAUGAAAUAAAGUGACAUUAAACCUCAUAAAUGGGUGCAUUCAUGAGUCUACUGGCCCACCUACUAACCUUUAUUUGUUCACAAUUUUACUGAUACUUUUACCCCUUUGUUUUUUGUCUUCUUGGCAAAAUUCAUUGCAUUGUGGUGUUUUUUUAUAUCCAUAUGCAUACUUAUUUGAUAACACAUUAAGAAAAUGCUGGAAUGAAUGUUUUCAAUAAACUAACGUUUACUGAU